rnacentral:rRNA from 1 species
AUUGAACGCUGGCGGCAGGCCUAACACAUGCAAGUCGAGCGAGCGGCGGACGGGUGAGUAAUGUAUGGGGACUGCCCGAUAGAGGGGGAUAACUACUGGAAACGGUGGCUAAUACCGCAUACUAUCGGAUAACCCAUAUGGGAUUAGCUAGUAGGUGGGGUAAAGGCUAACCUAGGGGACGAUCUCUAGCUGGUCUGAGUGGAUGAUCAGCGACACUGUGACUAGGACACGGCCCAGACUCCUACGGGGGCAGCAGGGGGAAAUAUUGCACAAUGGGCGCAGGCCUGAUACAGCCAUGCCGCGUGUAUGAAGAAGGCCUUAAGGUUGUAAAGUACUUUCAGCGGGGGGGCGUUACCCGCAGAAGAAGCUCCGGCUAACUCCGUGCCAGCAGCCGCGGUAAUAC